rnacentral:rRNA from 1 species
UACGUAGGGGGCGAGCGUUGUCCGGAAUUAUUGGGCGUAAAGCGCGUGCAGGCGGUUUUUUAAGUCUGUGGUGAAAGACCGGGGCUCAACCCCGGAGUGUCCAUGGAGACUGGAAGACUGGAGUGUCGGAGAGGAGUGCGGAAUCCCUGGUGUAGCGGUGGAAUGCGUAGAGAUCAGGGGGAACACCGAUGGCGAAGGCAGCACUCUGGCCGAAUACUGACGCUGAGGCGCGAAAGCCAGGGGAGCGAACGGG